rnacentral:RNase_P_RNA from 2 species
ACAGGUCGCCAGACGGUCGCGUCGGCUCCAUGAGCCGCCGAGGAACGUCCGGGCUCCGCAGAGCACGGUGGUGGGCAACACCCACCCGGGGCAACCCGCGGGACAGUGCCACAGAGAACAGACCGCCCGCCCGGGCAACCGGGCGGGUAAGGGUGAAACGGCGGUGUAAGAGACCACCAGGGUUCCGGGUGACCGGAAUCGCUCGGCAAACCCCACCGGGAGCAAGAUCAGACAGACGGUGCUUGAGGGCUGCUCGCCCAAGCCGUCGGGUGGAUCGCUCGAGGGCGCCGGCAACGGCGCUCCUAGAUAGAUGACCGUCGCGUCCGCACCCGCAAGGGCGCAGGCGCCACAGAACCCGGCGUAUCGGCGGCCUGUCCCC